UACGUAGGAGGCAAGCGUUGUCCGGAAUCACUGGGCGUAAAGCGCGUGUAGGUGGAGCAGGAAGUCUGCUGUGAAAGCGCCUGGCUUAACCGGGCGAGGUCGGUGGAAACUCCUGGUCUAGAGGCCGGUAGAGGGGGGUGGAAUUCCCGGUGUAGCGGUGAAAUGCGCAGAUAUCGGGAAGAACACCCGUGGCGAAGGCGGCACUCGUGGGACGGUACUGACGCUGAGACGCGAAAGCGUGGGGAGCGAACGAGG
rnacentral:rRNA from 1 species